UUGAACGCUGGCGGCAUGCCUUACACAUGCAAGUCGAACGGUAGAGUAGCAAUACUCGAGAGUGGCGAACGGGUGAGUAAUAUAUCGGAACGUGCCCAGUCGUGGGGGAUAACGUAGAGAAAUUUACGCUAAUACCGCAUACGAUCUAAGGAUGAAAGCGGGGGACUCGCAAGGGCCUCGCGCGAUUGGAGCGGCUGAUAUCAGAUUAGGUUGUUGGUGAGGUAAAGGCUCACCAAGGCGACGAUCAGUAGCUGGUCUGAGAGGAUGAUCAGCCACACUGGAACUGAGACACGGUCCAGACUCCUACGGGAGGCAGCAGUGGGGAAUUUUGGACAAUGGGGGAAACCCUGAUCCAGCCAUUCCGCGUGAGUGAAGAAGGCCUUCGGGUUGUAAAGCUCUUUCAGGAGGGAAGAAACGGUUGCGGCUAAUACCCGCGACUAAUGACGGUACCUUCAGAAGAAGCACCGGCUAACUACGU
rnacentral:rRNA from 1 species